NNNNNCGAUCAUACCAGCACUAAAGCACCGGAUCACAUCAGAACUCCGAAGUUAAGCGUGCUUGGGCGAGAGUAGUACUAGGAUGGGUGACCUCCUGGGAAGUCCUCGUGUUGCAUUCC
rnacentral:rRNA from 16 species